GGGUACGAGUUCUCCUGAUACCGAAGUAAGUACCCUCUGCGCACGGAGAAGCAACACAAAACGUCUGAUCACAACGAAACAAAUCGACGACUAAGUAUGCGCAGACUAUACUGGAAUUAAAUUGUAAGGUUUUAUUUGUCGACCCUAAGCCCGCAUUAGUAUGCGCAGACUAUACUGGAAUGAAAUAGCCGUGUUUCGAGUUACUCCGGAACACAGUGUUUAUUCUGUGUUUAGUCACGCCGCGUCAAAAAUGUUCCACAGGGUUACUUCCGGUUUAUCGCUCUGUUUACCAACAGUCGACACUUCGUGUAUUAGGCCUAGGGUUAAUUUUGUCGAUCAUCAUGAAAUUGAAAUACACAUUUAAUAGUUUGGGGUGUAUGCGGUACAUAUUUGUUUAUGAGCGUUUGAUAAGCUACUAUUGAUCUACGAAAUACAACGAAAGACUUCGUCAAGAACAGAAGAAGACGAUGCAUGUCGUGUAACUCACACAAGGCCCAGCUGUCUAGUAACCGGUGGGGUAAAGGAAAAGAACGUAUUAGACUCACUGAAACCUGUCAAACAGGUAUAUGGGAACAGGAUCAUUUUCCAUGCCUUUCACUUGAGGUCUUCAGUUUCAUCAUUAAUCAUCUGAAUGUCGGUAUGCCAAACUCUCAUGAUGUCAUGCCAUUACUGGAUAUUCCUUAACACUGGUUUAUUUAAGCCACACUACCUAUAACAUUGCCAAAAUAUUAGACUGAAAAUUUUCAAAUACACAAGAUUUGAAGCAGCAAAAGAAAAGAAUUACAUAUGUAUAACACACAAAAAAGAAAUUAAUUCUCACCUGGCUGAUAUGAACUUUUUACUCCUUUUUAGCUCCCUUUCACUGCAUACCAGCCAAUAACUAGCAGUCAUUAUAUGCAGAUCAGCCAUUGUUAUCAACCUGUGUAUAUAUAUGUUGAAUGAAAUAUGAAUGAAAAUUGUUGUUCUUUGUUAUUCUUUUUAAAAUAUAUAUAUACUCAAUAGUAUAUUUCCUUACACAGUACUGAUUCAAAGGGGUAGGAGAGCAAAUACAUAAUAUAUAACCUGGCUCAUGUUCAGCUGGUUCCAUUCUUGUAUAUAAGUGGUUUGAGUGGAAAUGUACAUAUCUGAUGUACAUGUACAUGCAAAGUACCUUGAUUGCACAGGCAAUAUGCAUCACUUGUGUUCGAAUUUACUAUUAAAGAGUACCCCAAGCGAUGCAUAUUGCCUGUGCUUGAUUGGUAUUAAAAGUUGGAGAAAAGAUCAAUGUUCUUUGAUAUAAUUCAAAAUUUUGCAGUGAAUGAACCAUCGGUAUGGAGCUUGAAUAAAUGACCAUGCAAAUCCUAGUAUAGAUCCGUAGGGAUAUAUUAUCUGGUGUUCUCAUAUUUUAUUUAAUUGGCAGAUAUAUAUACCCCCCCCCCCUCUCAUCCCUUGUGAAAUUGCUUCGUAAUUUUUAUGAGCCUGAACCAUAAGUUCAUAAUUGAAAUUCUCUAUUUAAUGUCACAUGAACACCGUUGUAAAAUACAUACACUGCUCAGAUGUGGAUGAGGGUACAAGUAUACCUAUUCUUAAGAUUUACAAGAUUUUGCACAGUCUAUAUUAUAUUUUUAAGAGUCAAUACAAACCUCUUGGUUUUCCUAAAAGUUAAUAUAAGGAAACUGGCUAGAACAAUGAUGUUUCUUUGUUGGUUCAGCUUUCACGGAAUGUAAUAUUCGCACUCAAUUUCGGCUGCUCGUGGUUUUCUACACAAAUGACGCCACCGUUUCCUCUGCGUGAACGCUUUUCCCGGGUUUGGGAAAAGGCAAACUUUGACAUCUUCCCAAGUAAAUAUAUAUCCCUUGCUAUCCUUUAUCUGAUUUGCGACAGUUUGUGCCGCAAAAUCUAUAUUUUGUCAAAAACAAUUUUGUUACCAGUGUAAACAAAAUUAACCGGAAGUACCCCUGUGGAACAUUUUGCUCAUAUCACGUGACCGGCGUGGCUAAAUACGAAAAAUCCCGAGUGCUCCGGAGGAACUCGAAACACGGCUAUUCACAGACAACGGUGCAAAUGCUACAGAAAGUGGAAAUACAAGUGUUCUACUAACAGACAUGCUAAAUUGUGACAAUUCUGAGGAAACAGACGAGUUUGUCAACUUAUUUACUCCCCAACCCAUGAGUUUCCGUGAGUACUUCUUACGAUAUGAACUACAACAUGUCUCUCAAUCAAGCUGUGUUCGAUUCACAAUCCAUUCCUAUCAACGAUAGGAUUUUGAAUCAAACAGAUAUUGAAUACCUAGAUGAACAGCUUAAAAACUUACCAAAACAAAUAUACAUAGGGAAGCUUACCGAUUUGUGUUCUAACAAUGAAAGCAUGAUAUGCUGGUAUCGGGACAUACUAUGCACAUGAGCGAAAAGUCAAAGGGGUUGUCCACGGGGUAAUCUUAUUAACAGACUAGUUCUAAUUGUAACGGGGACCGUUACAGAUGUUCCCCAAACCUCCCCCAAUUAAAAAGUGAUGUCCUUGUGAAUAUAUAGGAAAAACCCAUUUUAUUUUAGCCUUUAAUUACAUGUAGUACGUUCAAUAUGGUCAUUUCAGUACCAACAAAUGAAAGAAAGCGUUGCACGUGCAUACACGCGCACGCGUGUAUGAUUCCGAAUUUUUGUUGAUGUCGUUCAACAGGCAUUUGUAUCAUAUACCCACAGUAUGAAUUUCAUAACGUUUCCAACAAAUAUAAGGAAGUUAUAGCGAUUUUAAAAUCGUCCAAUCAGAAAUCAGCACACGUGCAUGCACGUGAUGAACAGUAAUUCUAACCACAGCAAUUUGUAAGGAGUACCAAGACACAUCAAAACCCCUAAUAUCAAUAGAAUUUGAAGAAAAACAAAAACGUUGUCGUCCUUUAAAAAUUGAACAUUUAAAAAACGUUGCACGCGCAUGCGCGUGUGCGUUGGCAUUUUUUUGUUACACCAAUAUGUCGAUACACAUAUUGUCUACCUAUGCUGUGAAUAUCAUCUCAUUCGCUUCAUAAGUAAGAUAGUUACAAACGUUUGAGUAUUAUCCAAUCAAAAUGAAGCGCACGUGCAUGCGCGUGCAAAUUGGUAAUUUUGACCAUGCAAAUCAGUUAAGGGUCUCAAUAUCUACCUACGAUAUAAAUUUCAAGCCAUUUCAAUGAACAACAAAAAAGUUAGACUGAUUCCAAAGUUAGUGUACAAAUUUUGUAAUGCGCGUGCACGCGCAUGCGUGCGCGUGCUGACAAAAUAACUAUUAUUUUUCAUAUGUACAAAUGAUAUACUAUCAUCCUAUUUAGGUUUUAUAUCGAUUCCUUCAAUAUUCUGAUUUUCCAUUUUUUGUACCAAAAUUGCAAUGCACGUGCGCGCGCGUGCAUGCACGUGAAGACAAAAUGACUAUCACUAUGCACAUCUACAAACGCUAUACUAUCAUCCUGGAAAGUUUCAUAUCGAUCCCUUUUGUAGUUUCUGAGAACACUACCGGACAAAAAAGUACCGGAGAAAAAGAAUAAUAACUAGUUCUAAUUGUAACGGGGACCGUUACAUAUGUUCCCCAAACCUCCCCCAAUUAAAAAGUGAUGUCCUUUUAAAUCUAUAGCAAAAAAUCAUUUUAUUUUAGUCUUUAAUUACAUGUAGUACAUUCAAUAUGGUCAUUUCAGUACCAAGAAAUGAAAGAAAGUGUUGCACGUGCAUACACGCGCACGCGUGUACGAUUCCGAAUUUUUGUUGAUGUCGUUCAACAGGCAUUUGUAUCAUAUACCCACAGUAUGAAUUUCAUAACGUUUCCACCAAAUAUAAGAAAGUUAUAGCGAUUUUAAAAUCGUCCAAUCAGAAUUCAGCACACGUGCAUACACGUGCUUAGCAGUAAUUCUAACCACAGCAAUUUGUAAGGAGUACCAAGACACAUCUAAACCAUUAAUAUCAAUAGAAUUUGAUGAAAAACAAAAACCUUAUCGUCCUUUAAAAAUUGAACAUUUAAAAAACGUUGCACGCGCAUGCGCGUGUACGUUGGCAUUUUUUUAUUACACCAAUAUAUAGAUACACAUAUUGUCUACUUAUGCUGUGAAUAUCAUCUCAUUCGCUUCAUAAAUAAGAUAGUUACAAACAUUUUAGUAUUAUCCAAUCAAAAUGAAGCGCACGUGCAUGCGCGUGCAAAUUGGUAAUUUUGACUAUGUAAAUCAGUUAAGGGUCUCAAUAUCUACCUAUGAUAUGAAUUUCAAGCCAUUUCAAUGAACAACAAAAAAGUUAGACUGAUUCCAAAGUUAGUGUACAAAUUUUGGAAUGCGCGUGCACGCGCAUGCGUGCGCGUGCUGACAAAAUAACUAUUAUUUUUCAUAUGUACAAAUGAUAUACUAUCAUCCUAUUUAGGUUUUAUAUCGCUUCCUUCAAUAUUCUGAUUUUCCAUUUUUUGUACCAAAAUUGCAAUGCACGUGCGCGCGCGUGCAUGCACGUGCAAACAAAAUGACUAUCACUAUGCACAUCUACAAACGCUAUACUAUCAUCCUGGAAAGUUUCAUAUCGAUCCCUUUUGUAGUUUCUGAGAACACUACCGGACAAAAAAGUACCGGAGAAAAAGAAUAAUAAUAAUAAUAAUAAUAAUAAUAAUAAGAAACAGAGUAAAAACAAUAUGUUCCCAAACUUUGUUUGGGGAACAUAAUAAUAACUAGACACGAUCUCGUUCCGAGCAACGAGUAGGUCUUCCGUCCGAUUUGUUGAUGCACUCGGAGUUAAAAAAAAAAAGAAAAGACAAAUGAGUCCCAAUUUAGUUUCCGACUUUAAGACACUUUAGAUAUAAUCAAUUUUUCAUAUCAUAAGCUUCUGAAGCAAAGUUGCGGUGAAAUUCGUUUGAAAUUCGACUCUCCAGGCGAGCCAUAAGGCCCGCGGGCCUAUUUCUUGAUGUCAUUUGUUAGCCCUCUAUAGACUCAACAACUUUAGUUCUAUAUGUACUUUACAAAAUAUUUACCUGUAAAAAGUUAUUGAGAUCGACCGAUAUCGACAAAAAAUCGACUCUACAGGCGAGACAUUAGGACCAUAGGCCUAUUUCUUGAUAUCAAUCGAUAGAUCUCGAUAAACUGAACAACUUUUGUUCAAUAUGUCCUUACAAAAUAUUUACCAGUUACAAGGUUUUGAAAUCGACUGAUAUCGACAAAAAUCGACUCUACAGGCGAGCCAUGAGGCCCACAGACCCAUUUUGAAAUAUUGAUCGAUAGGUUAUGACACAUUGAACAACUUUUGUUCAAUAAUGCUUUUCAAAAAAUAUGUCGUUUUAAAGAUAUGAGGCGUCAAAUAUUUACGAUUUUGGCCCUUAAAAUCUCUAAUUACGUAACAUAUGACCUACUUUUUGAUUUGAUAAGAUCAAGCUCGUUGAGAUGAACAUUUCCGCUUCUACAACUUAUUAUAAAAUAUUAAUAGUUUCUGAGAUAUUCUCAAAAACAUUUGGACCCUUCUGAACCCCUAAUUUAAAGGGCCAGCCCGUUUUGCUUGAUAUUGUAAGAAAGGCCUUGUCAUUUUAAACAUUUUUUGCUCAACAAGUAUUUAGAAAUUCUUUACCGUUCUCGAGUUAUCUCUACAAGAAAUAUUUAGGGGCCAAACUGUAGCUCCCUAACGGGGCCACAUAGGGAAAAAACGAAAUGUACAUAUUGUUUAGAUUAUCAUUCUGAACAACUUUUGUUCAAUAAUGCUUUUCAAAAUAUUUGUCGUUUUCAAGAUAUGAGGCGUCAAUUAUUUAUGAUUUUGGUCCUUAAAAUCCCUUAUUACGUAACAUAUGACCUACUUUUUGAUUUGAUAAGAACAAGCUCGUUUAGAUGAACAUUUCCGCUUCAAUGACUUAUUACAAAAUAUUAAUAGUUUCUGAGAUAUUCUCAUAAACCUUUGGACCCUUCUGGGCCCCUAAUUUAAAGGGUCAGCCCCUUUUGCUUGAUAUCGUAAGAAAGGUCAUGACAUUUCAAACAUUUUUUGUUCAACAAGUAUUUAGAAAUUCUUUACCGUUCUCGAGUUAUUUCUAGAAGUAAUGUUUAGGGGCCAAACUGUAGCUCCCUAACGGGGCCACAUAGGGUAAAAACGAAAUAUGCAUAUUGUUCAGAUCAUCAUUCUGAACAACUUUUGUUCUUUAUUGCUUUUCAAAAUAUUUGUCGUUUUCGAGAUAAAAGGGGUCAAAAAUUGAUGGUUUUGGCCCUUAAAAUCCCUUAUUACGUAACAUAUGACCUCAAUUUUUAUAUGAAUAGAUUUGGAUUGUUGAGAUGAACAUUUUUUGUUCUUUGACUUAUACCAAAAUAUUAACGAUUUUUGAGAUAUUUGAUCUAGACUUUGAGCCCUUCUAGAUCCCUAAUUGAAGGGGCUAGCCCCUAAAUCUUGAUAUUUUCGAAAAGAUCUCGUAAAUGUGCACAACUUUUGUUCAACAUGUCUUAACAAAAUAUUUGCAAGAAAAAAGAUAUUAGAGAUCAAAGGUCAAAAAUCGCCGAAAUGGGCGAAAAAUUUUGGCAUCCAUUUUUUCAGGUCCAGGCGAGCGUUUAGGCAAAUCGCCUCCGGUAAAAUCGAAUUCCCCACAAAUCUUCUAAAAUGUUUACUCUAUCUUGUGUAGAAAUUUCAAGACUCUAGCUUCAAAACUAACGGAGGAGAUGCGUGGACAACAAGGCCCUUCAAAAAGUCACUAAAAGAGAGAUAACUCCUGACCGGAAGUGACGUCAAGCACGAAAUUUUGCAAGCAAAGUCUCGUCAUCAAAAGACAUCUUUCCUGACAAUUUCGUGAAAAUCGAUCGAGAAAUGGCUGAGAAAAACGCGUGUACUACCAAGGAAAAUAAUAAUAAUAAUAAUAACUAGACACGAUCUCGUUGCGAGCAACGAGUAGGUCUUCCGUCCGAUUUGUUGAUGCAUUCGGAGUUAAAAAAAACAAAAAAAGACAAAUGAGUCCCAAUUUAGUUUCCGACUUUAAGACACUUUAGAUAUAAUCAAUUUUUCAUAUCAUAAGCUUCUGAAGCAAAGUUGCGGUGAAAUUCGUUUGAAAUUCGACUCUCCAGGCGAGCCAUAAGGCCCGCGGGCCUAUUUCUUGAUGUCAUUUGUUAGCCCUCUAUAGACUCAACAACUUUAGUUCUAUAUGUCUUUACAAAAUAUUUACCUGUAAAAAGUUAUUGAGAUCGACCGAUAUUGACAAAAAAUCGACUCUACAGGCGAGCCAUUAGGACCAUAGGCCUAUUUCUUGAUAUCAAUCGAUAGAUCUCGAUAAACUGAACAACUUUUGUUCAAUAUGUCCUUACAAAAUAUUUACCAGUUACAAGGUUUUGAAAUCGACUGAUAUCGACAAAAAUCGACUCUACAGGCGAGCCAUGAGGCCCACAGACCCAUUUUUUGAUAUUGAUCGAUAGGUUAUGACACAUUGAACAACUUUUGUUCAAUAAUGCUUUUCAAAAAAUAUGUCGUUUUAAAGAUAUGAGGCGUCAAAUAUUUUACGAUUUUGGCCCUUAAAAUCUCUAAUUACGUAACAUAUGACCUACUUUUUGAUUUGAUAAGAUCAAGCUCGUUGAGAUGAACAUUUCCGCUUCUACAACUUAUUAUAAAAUAUUAAUAGUUUCUGAGAUAUUUUCAAAAACAUUUGGACCCUUCUGAACCCCUAAUUUAAAGGGCCAGCCCGUUUUGCUUGAUAUCGUAAGAAAGGCCUUGUCAUUUUAAACAUUUUUUGCUCAACAAGUAUUUAGAAAUUCUUUACCGUUCUCGAGUUAUCUCUACAAGAAAUAUUUAGGGGCCAAACUGUAGCUCCCUAACGGGGCCACAUAGGGAAAAAACGAAAUGUACAUAUUGUUUAGAUUAUCAUUCUGAACAACUUUUGUUCAAUAAUGCUUUUCAAAAUAUUUGUCGUUUUCAAGAUAUGAGGCGUCAAUUAUUUAUGAUUUUGGCCCUUAAAAUCCCUUAUCACGUAACAUAUGACCUACUUUUUGAUUUGAUAAGAACAAGCUCGUUUAGAUGAACAUUUCCGCUUCAAUGACUUAUUACAAAAUAUUAAUAGUUUCUGAGAUAUUCUCAUAAACCUUUGGACCCUUCUGGGCCCCUAAUUUAAAGGGUCAGCCCCUUUUGCUUGAUAUCGUAAGAAAGGUCAUGACAUUUCAAACAUUUUUUGUUCAACAAAUAUUUAGAAAUUCUUUACCGUUCUCGAGUUAUUUCUAGAAGUAAUUUUUAGGGGCCAAACUGUAGCUCCCUAACGGGGCCACAUAGGGUAAAAACGAAAUAUGCAUAUUGUUCAGAUCAUCAUUCUGAACAACUUUUGUUCUUUAUUGCUUUUCAAAAUAUUUGUCGUUUUCGAGAUACAAGGGGUCAAAAAUUGAUGGUUUUGGCCCUUAAAAUCCCUUAUUACGUAACAUAUGACCUCAAUUUUUAUAUGAAUAGAUUUGGAUUGUUGAGAUGAACAUUUUUUGUUCUUUGACUUAUACCAAAAUAUUAACGAUUUUUGAGAUAUUUGAUCUAGACUUUGAGCCCUUCUAGAUCCCUAAUUGAAGGGGCUAGCCCCUAAAUCUUGAUAUUUUCGAAAAGAUCUCGUAAAUGUGCACAACUUUUGUUCUACAUGUCUUAACAAAAUAUUUGCAAGAAAAAAGAUAUUGGAGAUCAAAGGUCAAAAAUCGCCGAAAUGGGCGAAAAAUUUUGGCAUCCAUUUUUUCAGGUCCAGGCGAGCGUUUAGGCAAAUCGCCUCCGGUAAAAUCGAAUCCCCCACAAAUCUUCUAAAAUGUUUACUCUAUCUUGUGUAGAAAUUUCAAGACUCUAGCUUCAAAACUAACGGAGGAGAUGUGUGGACAACAAGGCCCUUCAAAAAGUCACUAAAAGAGAGAUAACUCCUGACCGGAAGUGACGUCAAGCACGAAAUUUGGCAAGCAAAGUCUCGGCACCAAAAGACAUCUUUCCUGAAAAUUUCGUGAAAAUCGAUCGAGAAAUGGCUGAGAAAAACGCGUGUACUACCAAGGAAAAUAAUAAUAAUAAUAAUGAAGAAGAAGAACGCGAACAAUAAUAGUAAGGUCUUCCGCAGGAGACGGAAGACCUUAAUAAUGAA